rnacentral:rRNA from 1 species
AUUGAACGCUGGCGGCAUGCCUUACACAUGCAAGUCGAACGGCAGCACGGACUUCGGUCUGGUGGCGAGUGGCGAACGGGUGAGUAAUGCAUCGGAACGUACCCGGUAGUGGGGGAUAACUACCCGAAAGGGUGGCUAAUACCGCAUAUACUGUGCGCAGGAAAGCAGGGGACCUUCGGGCCUUGUGCUACCGGAGCGGCCGAUGUCAGAUUAGGGAGUUGGUGGGGUAACGGCCUACCAAGCCUGCGAUCUGUAGCGGGUCUGAGAGGAUGAUCCGCCACACUGGGACUGAGACACGGUCCAGACUCCUACGGGAGGCAGCAGUGGGGAAUAUUGCACAAUGGGCGCAAGCCUGAUGCAGCCAUGCCGCGUGUGUGAAGAAGGCCUUCGGGUUGUAAAGCACUUUCAGCGGGGAGGAAGGCGUUAAGGUUAAUAACCUUGGCGAUUGACGUUACCCGCAGAAGAAGCACCGGCUAACUCCGUGCCAGCCGCCGCGGUAA